UACGGAGGGGGCUAGCGUUGUUCGGAAUUACUGGGCGUAAAGCGCACGUAGGCGGCUUUGUAAGUUAGAGGUGAAAGCCCGGGGCUCAACCCCGGAAUAGCCUUUGAGACUGCAUCGCUAGAAUUGUGGAGAGGUAAGUGGAAUUCCGAGUGUAGAGGUGAAAUUCGUAGAUAUUCGGAAGAACACCAGUGGCGAAGGCGACUUACUGGACACAUAUUGACGCUGAGGUGCGAAAGCGUGGGGAGCAAACAGG
rnacentral:rRNA from 1 species